CCCUGCCAUUUGUACACACCGCCCGUCGCUACUACCGAUUGAAUGGUUUAGCGAGAUUCUCGGAUUGGACCUUGUUCGUGCGCAAGUAUGGACGAGGCCUGAGAAGAAACUCAAGCUUGAUCAUUUAG
rnacentral:rRNA from 1 species